GCCCCGGUGGCGCAGUUGGCAGCGCGUUAUUCUGAUCUUAAAUAACGGUCGUAGGUUCGACUCCUACCCGGGGUA